rnacentral:rRNA from 1 species
UAGCACAGAGAGCUUGCUCUCGGGUGACGAGCGGCGGACGGGUGAGUAAUGUCUGGGAAACUGCCUGAUGGAGGGGGAUAACUACUGGAAACGGUAGCUAAUACCGCAUAAUGUCGCAAGACCAAAGUGGGGGACCUUCGGGCCUCAUGCCAUCAGAUGUGCCCAGAUGGGAUUAGCUAGUAGGUGGGGUAACGGCUCACCUAGGCGACGAUCCCUAGCUGGUCUGAGAGGAUGACCAGCCACACUGGAACUGAGACACGGUCCAGACUCCUACGGGAGGCAGCAGUGGGGAAUAUUGCACAAUGGGCGCAAGCCUGAUGCAGCCAUGCCGCGUGUGUGAAGAAGGCCUUCGGGUUGUAAAGCACUUUCAGCGGGGAGGAAGGCG